GUACCAGACUCCUACGGGAGGCAGCAGUGGGGAAUAUUGCACAAUGGGGGAAACCCUGAUGCAGCAACGCCGCGUGAGUGAAGAAGUAUUUCGGUAUGUAAAGCUCUAUCAGCAGGGAAGAAAAUGACAGUACCUGACUAAGAAGCCCCGGCUAACUACGUGCCAGCAGCCGCGGUAAUACGUAGGGGGCAAGCGUUAUCCGGAUUUACUGGGUGUAAAGGAGGCGCAGACGGCAGCGCAAGCCAGGAGUGAAAGCCCGGGGCCCAACCCCGGGACUGCUCUUGGAACUGCGCGGCUGGAGUGCAGGAGGGGCAGGCGGAAUUCCUGGUGUAGCGGUGAAAUGCGUAGAUAUCAGGAGGAACACCGGUGGCGAAGGCGGCCUGCUGGACUACGACUGACGUUGAGGCCCGAAAGCGUGGGGAGCAAACAGGAUUAGAUACCCUCGUAAC
rnacentral:rRNA from 1 species